rnacentral:misc_RNA from 1 species
AUCGGCGAUGGAUUUAUCGACUGGGUCGGAGGACGAGUUAAGUGAGAUCGUGCAGUUGCCGAGUCUGGGAACGAGUUACGACUCGUCCGAGUUGAGGAGCGAUUUUCUGUUCGAUGACUCGGUGGAGGGGUGGGUAUAUCCUUCACCAUGGCUGCAAAGCGCGGAGGAUAGUUACGGUGGUGGGUGUCUUUUUGAUGAGUUAACAGCGGCAGCUGGUGAGUG